GCAGGUGUGGUUCAAUGGUAGAAUAUGACCUUGCCAAGGUCGAGACGGGAGUUCGAUUCUCCUCACUUGCUCCA
rnacentral:tRNA from 1 species